CGGUCAAGCUAAAAAGGGCGCAAGGUGAAUGCCUUGGCACUGGGAGCCGAUGAAAGACGUGGUAAGCUGCGAAAAGCUUCGGGGAGGAGCAAACAUCCAUUGAUCCGGAGAUAUCUGAAUGGGGCAACCCAAUGGAGUUCAUACUCCAUUAUCCAAUACUGAAUCCAUAGGUAUUGGAAGGGAACCGCCUGAACUGAAACAUCUAAGUAGGGCGAGGAAGAGACAUCAAACGAGAUUCCGUAAGUAGUGGCGAGCGAACGCGGAAGAGGGCAAACCGAGAGGAGAAAUCCUUUCGGGGUACGGACUGCUUUUAGGACUGGAAGAGUUAACAGAAUGGCAUGGGAAGGCCAACCAAAGAGUGUGAGAGUCACGUAAGUAAAAAUUCUGACAGCUGCGCAGGAUCCAGAGUACGGCCAGACACGUGAAACCUGGUCGGAAUAUGGGGGGACCACCCUCCAACCCUAAAUACUACCCAGUGACCGAUAGCGUAUAGUACUGUGAAGGAAAGGUGAAAAGGACCCCGGGAGGGGAGUGAAAGAGAACCUGAAACCUUGUGCCUACAAGCACAUAGAGCCCGUCAAAGGGUGAUAUGGUACUUUUUGUAGAACGGUCCGGCGAGCGAUUGUACGUUGCGAGCUUAAGGUCUUAAGGACUGGAGGCGUAGCGAGAGCGAGUCUAAACAGGGCGUUUAGUAGCGUGCAAUGGGCCCGAAACCGGGUGACCUACCCAUGAUCAGGCUGAAGUGAAAGUAAAAUUUCAUGGAGGGCCGAACCGACCUCCGUUGAAAAGGCGGCGGAUGAAUUGUGGGUAGCGGAGAAAUUCCAAUCGAACUCGGAGAUAGCUGGUUCUCCCCGAAAUAGCUUUAGGGCUAGCCUCAUGUUAGAUAUCCGGAGGUAAAGCACUGAAUGGCCUAGCGUCCGAGAGGAUAGCGAAGCCUAUCAAACUAAGAAUGCCGGAAUAUUGAUGCAUGGGAGUCAGACAGUGUGAGAUAAAUCUCAUUGUCAAAAGGGAAACAGCCCAGAUCUACAGCUAAGGUCCCAAAUUGUAUCUAAGUGGAAAACGAUGUGGAAAUACGCAGACAACCAGGAUGUUGGCUCAGAAGCAGCCACUCAUUUAAAGAGUGCGUAAUAGCUCACUGGUCGAGCGUCUCUGCGCGGAAAAUUUAACGGGGCUAAGAUA
rnacentral:rRNA from 1 species